UUUGUUUAUUUCACGUGCAGUUCAUUCAACAACAAAACACAGAUACAAACUGCUGUUUGGACUCUCAUUCUGACGGCACCCAUUCACUGCAGAGGAUCCACUGGUGAGCAAGUGAUGUUAUGCAACAUUUCUCCAAAUCUGUUCUCAUCUCAUCUACAUCUCGGAUGGUCUGAGGAAAAACAACUCUGCCCUUUAAUGAGGCCAAAGACAAGUGGAGGCUUCCUGAACUUCGUGUGGACACUUACAGGAGAACGUCGAAACCUGAACAGCUGCUUUCUGGUGUGCAAAGACUGCUUGUUAGUCUUAAACGGUUGGUUCACGCACAGAAUAACAUUUUGGGACCAUUUACUCACUCUUGUGUUAUUUUAAACUGCUUUGAUUUUAUUUAUUCUUCAGAAUUCUUCAGAAAAUUUGAAGAGUUGUGAUGAAUUGUGCUGAAGAAUUGCUCUUUUUCAUACAAAUGCUGUGAACGUUCAAGCCUUAAAAUGGACACAAAAUUACCAAAACUACUACUUCAAAAUGUUUUUUUUGUGUUCCACAGAAAAAAGACAUCAAAUU